GUACACUCCUACGGGAGGCAGCAGUGGGGAAUAUUGCACAAUGGGCGCAAGCCUGAUGCAGCCAUGCCGCGUGUAUGAAGAAGGCCUUCGGGUUGUAAAGUACUUUCAGCGGGGAGGAAGGCGAUAAGGUUAAUAACCUUGUCGAUUGACGUUACCCGCAGAAGAAGCACCGGCUAACUCCGUGCCAGCAGCCGCGGUAAUACGGAGGGUGCAAGCGUUAAUCGGAAUUACUGGGCGUAAAGCGCACGCAGGCGGUCUGUCAAGUCGGAUGUGAAAUCCCCGGGCUCAACCUGGGAACUGCAUUCGAAACUGGCAGGCUAGAGUCUUGUAGAGGGGGGUAGAAUUCCAGGUGUAGCGGUGAAAUGCGUAGAGAUCUGGAGGAAUACCGGUGGCGAAGGCGGCCCCCUGGACAAAGACUGACGCUCAGGUGCGAAAGCGUGGGGAGCAAACAGGAUUAGAUACCCCGGUAGUCCC
rnacentral:rRNA from 1 species